ACUUCGUGAUAUUAAUAGUUUCCUGCAUUUGUGUGGCAUUUUUAAUUUUGAAGGAUCUCAAAGUGCUUUCACACGUAGGAGUAGGCCCAUGUCAUCUAUCACUGAAGCUCCCAGCGCCCUCCUGGACCACAUAUCAGACAUGAGAUAAAGGAAAACAGUUGUCUGACGUCAUGGCUCAUAUCUGUCAUCUUAGAUCUCAGGAAGGGAGCAAGGAAUUGGAAAGUGGGACUUUCAUGGACUGUAUUCAUCAUUUGCAAGCUCACUUGUUACCUGUGUGACCACAGGCUUGAUCUCCACAGGAAGACGAGAAACUGUAUUUACAUCUGGUGUGACACCAUUGCUACAAGCUAUUUAAAUGAAACCUAUAAUAAAAAGAAACAUGUUUAUCUGAAA